rnacentral:rRNA from 1 species
UGAACGCUGGCGGUAUGCCUAACACAUGCAAGUCGUACGAGAGUUUUUAACUCUAGUGGCGGACGGGUGAGUAACACGUGAGAAUUUACCUUUAGGAGGGGGAUAACAACUGGAAACGGUUGCUAAUACCCCAUAUGCUUUCGAGUGAAAUGGUUUUUCCGCCUAAAGAGAAGCUUGCGGCUGAUUAGCUUGUUGGUGAGGUAAAAGCUCACCAAGGCGACGAUCAGUAUCUGGUUUGAGAGGACGAUCAGACACACUGGAACUGAGACACGGUCCAGACUCCUACGGGAGGCAGCAGUGGGGAAUUUUCCGCAAUGGGCGAAAGCCUGACGGAGCAAUACCGCGUGAGGGAAGACGGCCUAUGGGUUGUAAACCUCUUUUUUCAGGGAGGAAUAAAUGACGUGUACCUGAAGAAUAAGCAUCGGCUAACUCC